GUACUGCUGAGGAGUCGUAUACUAGGACGAAAUGGUCGUCCAGUAC
rnacentral:hammerhead_ribozyme from 1 species